rnacentral:rRNA from 1 species
UGGGGAAUAUUGGACAAUGGGGGGAACCCUGAUCCAGCCAUGCCGCGUGUGUGAAGAAGGCCUUACGGUUGUAAAGCACUUUAAGCGAGGAGGAGGCUCUCUUGGUUAAUACCCAAGAAGAGUGGACGUUACUCGCAGAAUAAGCACCGGCUAACUCUGUGACAGCAGCCGCGGUAAUACAGAGGGUGCGAGCGUUAAUCGGAUUUACUGGGCGUAAAGCGUGCGUAGGCGGCUUUUUAAGUCGGAUGUGAAAUCCCCGAGCUUAACUUGGGAAUUGCAUUCGAUACUGGGAAGCUAGAGUAUGGGAGAGGAUGGUAGAAUUCCAGGUGUAGCGGUGAAAUGCGUAGAGAUCUGGAGGAAUACCGAUGGCGAAGGCAGCCAUCUGGCCUAAUACUGACGCUGAGGUACGAAAGCAUGGGGAGCAAACAGG